AGCGACGACACCGUUGCUCAUACCUGUACCGGACCAGUUUCGAAGUUCUGUGGAGUUUUUGAGGGCUUUAUACAACGUGCAACACAUAGAGAUGUCAGAAGCAUAAAUGACAUGAUGGCUAGGACAUAUAGCUGGGGGAGAAUGGAAGUGGUUGUCCAGAGCCCAGAUGUGCAAUAAUUAAAGAAAGAUGGCCUGCCCAGAUAAAUGAAGAAUUCCAAAGGUGUACUGGUGUUCCACAAGAAUCGUUUUUUAUGUCCCAGCUGGACAAAUACACUCCAAAACUUCUUGACCUGUUUUGUGCGAAAGGUGCAUCGACUGGUCAAAACAUCAAUUGGAGUUAUUGGAACUGAUACAGGAUUCAAGUACCUCUGUGGUGAGGAAGAGAGACGUGGCUCUGAGAUGCCUCAUUGAAUACAUGGGAGAGAGUGGGCAAGAGCUGAUCUCUGACUACUAUGGAAAAACAGAGAGCAGUGUCUAUGAAGACUUGAAAAUGCGCAAUAUGCAGAUAUAUGUCUGCCGUGUUCCAGAUGUGGUGGGCAUCAUCAUUGAGGGCAUCCCUGUGCUUACUCGUCUUGGAAACCACGCCAGGGCUAUGAACUUGCAGUAUCCACCAAAACUCAGCAAAACAUUUCAGGUGUUUCAAAGACAUUUUGUGGGACUUGACACACUGCGUCCAAAGUCUUCCUCCCGAUU